GUAGUAAUUCUAGAGCUAAUACAUGCCACGUGUUUAUUAGAUAUCGUCCCUCUGGGAACAACAAUAAGCGAGAACCGCAUCGGGAGAUGCGGGGCAUCAUGCAAGUUUCUGCCCUAUCAGCUUUGGAUGGUAGUGUCUUGGACUACCAUGGCAGUGACGGGUGACGGAGAAUUAGGGUUCGAUUCCGGAGAGGGAGCCUGAGAGACGGCUACCACAUCUAAGGAAGGCAGCAGGCGCGCAAAUUACCCAAUCCUGACUCAGGGAGGUAGUGACCAGAAAUAACGACGACGGGUUUCGAUUCGUCGAUUGCAAUGAGCACAAUGUAAAAUUCUUAGCGAGUACCGACUGGAGGGCAAGUCUGGUGCCAGCAGCCGCGGUAAUUCCAGCUCCAGUAGCGUAUAUUAAAGUUGUUGCAGUUAAAAAGCUCGUAGUUGGACGUCUCUGCGACACGCAGCUCCGCCACGCAACUAGGUUCGUCCUUAAUUGAACGGCCUAGACCUGCGGGCCCUUUACCUUGAGGAAACUAGAGUGUUUAAGGCAGGCUGAGCCUGAAUACUGCAGCUGGGAAUAAUGCGCACGACUGUCUUGGCGAGGCAGCUCCACACUUUUAAUAGGAACAGUUGGGGGCAUUCGUACUCAGCAGUCAGAGGUGAAAUUCUUGGAUUUGCUGAAGACGGACUAAUGCGAAAGCAUUUGCCAAGGAUGUUUUCAUUAAUCAAGAACGAAAGUUAAGGGAUCCAAGACGAUCAGAUACCGUCCUAGUCUUAACCAUAAACGAUGCCGACUAGGGAUCGGGAGAGACGUACAAACUCUCUCGGCACCUCACGAGAAAUCCAAGUCUUUGGGUUCUGGGGGGAGUAUGGUCGCAAGACUGAAACUUAAAGGAAUUGACGGAAGGGCACCACAAGGAGUGGAGCCAGCGGCUUAAUUUGACCCAACACGGGGAAACUUACCAGGUCCAGACAUAGUGAGGAUUGACAGAUUGACAGCUCUUUCUUGAUCCUAUGGGUGGUGGUGCAUGGCCGUUCCUAGUUGGUGGAGUGAUCUGCCUGGUUAAUUCCGAUAACGAACGAGACCUCAGCCUGCUAACUAGAUCUUCUUAGAGGGACUUCCUGCUCGCGUGGGAGGAAGUGAGGCAAUAACAGGUCUGUGAUGCCCUUAGAUGUCCUGGGCCGCACGCGCGCUACACUGACGCAACCUGCAAGUUCCAAGCCUGUCAAGGCCUGGCAAACUGCCAACUGCGUCGUAGUUGGAACUGACCCUUGCAAUUCUUGGUCACGAACCAGGAAUUCCU
rnacentral:rRNA from 1 species